GCUUUCGUGGCGCAACUGGUUAGCGCGUCUGACUGUUAAUCAGGAGGUUGAUAGUUCGAGCCUAUCCGAGAGCG
rfam:Linderina pennispora strain ATCC 12442 DL89scaffold_42, whole genome shotgun sequence.